GUUAUUGAAGUUAUUAUUUUGAGGAACUAUUAAGACAAUUGAGUAUUAAAUUAUCCUUACAUUGAUUUAUUAUAAGAGUUUUUUUUAUUAUUAUGCAUUGGUUUGCCGUUGAUUUGUGGCUAUUUGAGAUGACUUGUAAAGUCAUCAAAAUUUAUUGGCUCCAUUUGUAAGGAAAAAUUCGAGUGGCAACCUGAAGUUUGCUUGGAGCUCAUUU
rnacentral:lncRNA from 1 species